AUUGGCAUCAGCUGUCACAGUUCACCCCGCGGCCAUGGUGUCAAGAGCUCCACCGGCGCGGGACUUUGUUGUUCUCUCCUCAGGGGCAGGGGUUCGCAACAUGAUGGAUUUCUACUCAAAGACCAGCUCCCCCAUCAUAAACACGACGGAGAUGUCCAGUGACCGGCCAACGACAGAGGAGCCACAGCGUGACAUCUCAACCAAAGCUGUCUUCAUAUAGCUUAUGUUGUCACGUCUGCUGUUGAUAUGAAUCAAAAUACGUAUUUGUAUUUAUUAAAAGAGGUUAAAUUGUG